rnacentral:tRNA from 1 species
UAAUCAAUGGUGUAUUGUGCACAUGAGAUUUUGAAUUUCAGGGAAAUAAUGAGAAAUUAUUUUGGUUAG